AUUGAACGCUGGCGGCAUGCUUUACACAUGCAAGUCGAACGGCAGCGCGGGCUUCGGCCUGGCGGCGAGUGGCGGACGGGUGAGUAAUACAUCGGAACGUGCCCAGUAGUGGGGGAUAGCUCGGCGAAAGCCGGAUUAAUACCGCAUACGACCUGAGGGUGAAAGCGGGGGAUCUUCGGACCUCGCGCUAUUGGAGCGGCCGAUGGCAGAUUGGCUAGUUGGUGGGGUAAAGGCCUAACAAGGCGACGAUCGGUAGCUGGUCUGAGAGGACGACCAGCCACACUGGGACUGAGACACGGCCCAGACUCCUACGGGAGGCAGCAGUGGGGAAUUUUGGACAAUGGGCGAAAGCCUGAUCCAGCAAUGCCGCGUGUGUGAUGAAGGCCUUCGGGUUGUAAAGUACUUUUGGCGGGAACGAAAAGGACUGUGCCAAUACCACGGUUCGAUGACGGUACCCGCAGAAUAAGCACCGGCUAACUACGUG
rnacentral:rRNA from 1 species